rfam:Sarcoptes scabiei Contig10291, whole genome shotgun sequence.
CAAAAGGUCCUUUUUAGGACCAUUAUUAUUAUUAGAAAGGACCAUU